rnacentral:rRNA from 1 species
UACGUAGGGUGCGAGCGUUACUCGGAAUUACUGGGCGUAAAGCGUGCGCAGGCGGCUUCGCAAGUCAGACGUGAAAUCCCCGGGCUUAACCUGGGAAUGGCGUUUGAAACUGUUCGGCUCGAGUCCGGGAGAGGGUAGUGGAAUUCCCAGUGUAGCGGUGAAAUGCGUAGAUAUUGGGAGGAACACCGGUGGCGAAGGCGGCUACCUGGACCGGUACUGACGCUGAGGCGCGAAAGCUAGGGUAGCAAACAGG